CUUUCAUUAUAGACGCCAACCACCCACAACUGAUCUGAGAGUGGAGUACAAGGCAAACAACACAUGUACAGUGUCUGGAAACAAGCAUUUCUCCAAACCUCAUAUGCCGUCACCAAUGAGUGUGCCAAAAUCCUGUCAUGGUUAUUAUUGAAAUGCUGAUUGGAGCAAGGCAAUUACAUCAGAGUUAAGUUUGUGCUCCAACAGAUAGAUGCUGUCAAUAUCAUAUCGUUCAUCAUAAAUGAAGCAGAAUUGAUUCAGAUUUUUUUUAGUUUUAUACUGUAGUAAAUGUUUAAUUUUAAAAACUAACUAAACUAAAAUAUUUUUGAGGCUGUAAAUUGUAUUCACUGUUGUAAACAAGCUUUUAUGCUUCGCAAACGAUUUUGAUAUAUUAUUCUGUCGUUCAACAUCCUAGAAUGCUUGGUCAUCAUCAUCUCACAUUUUUUUACAUUCCUACAUGAUUUACAUUUUGUAUUUGCAUUGUAUUUGACAAUAACUCUUAGAUUUUUAGAUUCAAAACUUGAAUUUUUUAUAUAAAAAUAAAACUGUUGACCUGGAAGCAAAAAACAGGCUGCUUUUUAUUUCAAUUGUUGUCAGAUGCUUUAACACUUGAUAUGUCUUCAGUACACAAGUUUCUUUUUUAAAUCAUUGGUAUAAAUUAGAUUGUGUUGUUUUUUUUUAAUCAAGCCAUCUUGAGAAUAUGGAUUUAUGUUACCAUUGAAUAAAUCUGUGUUAAUCAGUCA